ensembl:lncRNA
GUGACCUGUUUUUUCCUCCCAGAACUUUAUAUGCUUUUCUCUUGGAGCCCAAGGAAGAGGUUUCAAUGAGAUGGUUUAGAGAAUUUAAUAUAUGUCCUCUGGAGUGUGUCACUCCUGCCUAAGAAGUCUGGAGAGACAGAAGCUGGAUGACUGGAGGACUUUUCAUUAUCUGAAUCGAACAUGGUUUUCAUUCGAGUGGGAGGAUGAAUGAGUUUAAAUGUACAGUGUGAGACUGCAUCAUUUCAAUGCGAUCAUUUCAAACACACAUGUAAACAUUUCUGAAAAGAUAAAGAAAACAUACGAAGAAGUGAAAUCUCUGGAUGGUGUAAUUAGGGCCAAAAAAGUUUCCUUGCUAUGUUUGUGUAUGUGUACGUUUCUAAGUCUUUCAAGAUUCCCACAGGACACAUUGUGCUUAUGAAUCAGGAUGACGGACAUACUGUACAGGAUACAGUAAAUAGUACCUAACUGUAGGAGAUUUUGCCACCUUCUCUCUUGGAAGGUGAAUAUUUCCUGGAUAACUAACCUCAAAAUCAUUGAGUGUAAAAGCCAUCAUUAUUUAAUUUAUGAACAUUAAACUGAAGAUUAACUUUGUUUUAAUGGCUAUAUUGGUAACAGCCC